UGCUACUUUAUUCGCACUAUAGCGAUUUUUGGAAGCAUUCACGAUGUAUUUAAUGUAUUAUCUUGACGGAAAUGGUGACAGAGUGUAUACUCUGAAGAAAGUCGAUCCGAAGGGCAGACCCACGGCAUCAGCUCAUCCUGCCCGAUUUUCACCAGAGGAUAAAUACUCCCGAGAGAGAAUAAUGACAAAGAGAAGAUUUUAUUUGCUUCCAACGCAACAGCCACAGUACGCCUGCUGAUAACGCAGUCGAGUGAGGUGAAACAGGAAUGCAAACAGUGGAACAUAUUUUUGUAGUGAAUUUGUGUAAUGUUUGUUAAUUGAACAUAAAGUGCUAGUGAGAAAUUGCGAACGUAUUAAAGGACUCCAUGUAGUAGUUUCAUGCUAAAAUUAUAUCGUGCGCUAAUUGAAAUAUAUUGAUGUUAUAAGGAG